rnacentral:rRNA from 1 species
GCUCAGGACGAACGCUGGCGGCGUGCUUAACACAUGCAAGUCGAACGGAAAGGCCCUGCUUUUGUGGGGUGCUCGAGUGGCGAACGGGUGAGUAACACGUGAGUAACCUGCCCUUGACUUUGGGAUAACUUCAGGAAACUGGGGCUAAUACCGGAUAGGAGCUCCUGCUGCAUGGUGGGGGUUGGAAAGUUUCGGCGGUUGGGGAUGGACUCGCGGCUUAUCAGCUUGUUGGUGGGGUAGUGGCUUACCAAGGCUUUGACGGGUAGCCGGCCUGAGAGGGUGACCGGCCACAUUGGGACUGAGAUACGGCCCAGACUCCUACGGGAGGCAGCAGUGGGGAAUAUUGCACAAUGGGCGGAAGCCUGAUGCAGCAACGCCGCGUGCGGGAUGACGGCCUUCGGGUUGUAAACCGCUUUCGCCUGUGACGAAGCGUGAGUGACGGUAAUGGGUAAAGAAGCACCGGCUAACUACGUGCCAGCAGCCGCGGUGAUACGUAGGGUGCGAGCGUUGUCCGGAUUUAUUGGGCGUAAGGGCUCGUAGGUGGUUGAUCGCGUCGGAAGUGUAAUCUUGGGGCUUAACCCUGAGCGUGCUUUCGAUACGGGUUGACUUGAGGAAGGUAGGGGAGAAUGGAAUUCCUGGUGGAGCGGUGGAAUGCGCAGAUAUCAGGAGGAACACCAGUGGCGAAGGCGGUUCUCUGGGCCUUUCCUGACGCUGAGGAGCGAAAGCGUGGGGAGCGAACAGGCUUAGAUACCCUGGUAGUCCACGCUGUAAACGGUGGGUACUAGGUGUGGGGUCCAUUCCACGGGUUCCGUGCCGUAGCUAACGCUUUAAGUACCCCGCCUGGGGAGUACGGCCGCAAGGCUAAAAACUCAAAGGAAUGGACGGGGCCCCGCACAAGCGGCGGAGCAUGCGGAUUAAUUCGAUGCAACGCGUAGAACCUUACCUGGGUUUGACAUGGAUCGGGAGUGCUCAGAGAUGGGUGUGCCUCUUUUGGGGUCGGUUCACAGGUGGUGCAUGGCUGUCGUCAGCUCGUGUCGUGAGAUGUUGGGUUAAGUCCCGCAACGAGCGCAACCCUUGUUCACUGUUGCCAGCACGUUAUGGUGGGGACUCAGUGGAGACCGCCGGGGUCAACUCGGAGGAAGGUGGGGAUGACGUCAAGUCAUCAUGCCCCUUAUGUCCAGGGCUUCACGCAUGCUACAAUGGCUGGUACAGAGAGUGGCGAGCCUGUGAGGGUGAGCGAAUCUCGGAAAGCCGGUCUCAGUUCGGAUUGGGGUCUGCAACUCGACCUCAUGAAGUCGGAGUCGCUAGUAAUCGCAGAUCAGCAACGCCGCGGUGAAUACGUUCCCGGGGCUUGUACACACCGCCCGUCAAGUCAUGAAAGUUGGUAACACCCGAAGCCGGUGGCCUAACCGUUGUGGGGGAGCCGUCGAAGGUGGGACUG